UUUCCUGUAAGACUUUACUUUAAAAAAACAAAAGUAUUCAAGACACACUCUUGGUUUUUUCUUUCGACUUUUCCAAUGCGCUUUUCGCUUUGUAGAUCCAAGUCAUUUGGCGUUCUUCUGUUGUUUCAGUUUCGCAGCAUCAACAUGACUGCUUGGUCGCUAAAAUGAAUGUCUGGAAUGAAUGACUGACUGGUGACAGAAUGCCUAACUGACGGGCAACACGGAACGAACUGUUGUGGAGCCUGAAGUUCUUUGACUAAUGAGGACGCAUUGGAUAUAUACGCAGUGCGCGUCGCAUGUCAAUAAGCCACAGCAGCUACAGUAACAGCAGCAGGAGUAGCAACAACAAAAAGAAAACCCUAGGCGAGUAUGUUCCAAUCGGAGAUAGCUAAGGAUGUCUAACACACAUUCAACCUCAUGAAUAUGAUUGAAACUGAUCAGGAAAACAUAAUUUAUAGGAAGAUAUCAACGUGGUACCCAGAUUUCUUCGAGUUAUCUUUAAAGAGUGUACAGGGUAUAAUACCAAAACAACGGCAAAGCAAAGUUACGGCACAUAUAGCACAAAAGAAAAAAGUGCUAACAGGGGGAAUGUGUGACAAAAGGCGGAUCCCCAAUAAAAUGAGGACGUGCCGCUGAUAGCAGGUAAAUCCAAGCCUGCAUACUUUGGGGAAUGGUGACAUAUUGGAUACGCUGCUCCUGCCCUGUCUGGCGCAAUAUACACAGGGGAGCCGUAAAGUAUUUGUUAGUGGAGCAACUUAAGAAGUAGGCAAAAAAGUUGCCAAAGUCACAAAUCAUUCAAUUUGCCAUUCAGCCUGGAGAAACUUGAGAAAAUGUUGUGUGAAGUUGCUCGAAAAGAAAAAAGAAGUUGCUGUUCCAACUGUCAAACUAUGCUAUACUAAACUAUACUAGACUACCACUCAGAUACAAUGACAGAUGAGACACACAUGGAAUUAAAAGUGAGGGAACAUAAAAAAAAGAGACAAUAAAGAAAGCAAGGCUUUGGCAUUCACUGGGACUGAGUGGCAAAUGAAACUUUCACAAAUGAUUGAGUCAAUGAUGGUGCCAUUAAAAGUCGCAAAUUGUUGUUUUUGUUUCAAUAACGUGUAUGUGUGUGGGUUUGUGUUUCUGCGUGUAUUUGUGUGCGUGUGUUUGUGUGUGCCAAUU